CCUACGGGAGGCAGCAGUGGGGGAUAUUGCACAAUGGGGGAAACCCUGAUGCAGCGACGCCGCGUGGGUGAAGAAGCGCCUCGGCGCGUAAAGCCCUGUCAGCAGGGAAGAAAAUGACGGUACCUGAAGAAGAAGCCCCGGCUAACUACGUGCCAGCAGCCGCGGUAAUACGUAGGGGGCAAGCGUUAUCCGGUUUUACUGGGUGUAAAGGGGGCGCAGACGGCGAUGCAAGCCAGGAGUGAAAGCCCGGGGCCCAACCCCGGGACUGCUCUUGGAACUGCGUGGCUAGAGUGCAGGAGGGGCAGGCGGAAUUCCUGGUGUAGCGGUGAAAUGCGUAGAUAUCAGGAAGAACACCAAUGGCGAAGGCAGGUCUCUGGGCCGUUACUGACGCUGAGGAGCGAAAGCGUGGGGAGCGAACAGGAUUAGAUACCCCUGUAGUC
rnacentral:rRNA from 1 species